CAAGGUAGUAAUAUAUCAUCUCAAAUUUCAGGGCCAUAAGCUAGAUAAAGAGGAUAAAUUAAGGAUUUGCAUCAACCCAAAUUCAUAUAAAGACUCAAUUAAGUACACCUUGUAAUAUAAUUUUGGAAAAUUUGUAAAAAAUAAUCCCACCUUUAUCCGUCCUUCUAAAAAUAGUACCACAUUUAACAUAUUUAUGAAUAAUCCAAGCUUUAGAGGGUAUCUUCCAUAAACAGUAUGGUUUACCUACAACCUAAACAAUCGGUUACUUUUAUAUUACAAGUCAAAUAAGCUACGUGUUGCUUCCUGAUUGGUCUAUUAUUAAUUUUAUUAUUAAGAUAAUCAUAUCCUCUUAUCGCCCAUUUAUACAGUCUCUCACCUCCUCCCCUUGUCACCCAAACACCACCCCCUUGUCUCUGACUCUCCCCCCACCACCUCACCGCCAUGCAUCAUUUUAUCUCCUCCCCCCACCUUUUCUCUCUCCUCUCCAACUCCAUCGAUACCACCCGACCACCGACCGUAGACCAGCCAAGCCCACACAACUUUCAUCAUCUCUCUCCUUGUUUCUCUCUCGUUCUCCACCACCAACCUAACGCCAUGGGCGCCGACCAUAACCCAACCUCCCUACUACUUUUCCCUUGCUCUCACUCUAUUUCCUCUCUUUACUCCCUUUUCUAUCUCUAAAACUCACCCAACAUUUAAUCGUUUGAAAAAUUGAUCUGCCAUGGAUGACAAUUCAAAAAGGAUGAACAAGGAGGUCGACAAAUUGCUAUUCAAUUCUGCCGCCCUUUGCCGCUGCCGUCUCCAAGUCUUCUUAGAAAGACUGUUUCUGACCAUGUUACACUCUUGCCUGAUUCCUCCAUUCCUAAGGGAGAUCGAUGAUUCGAAGGAGAAAAUUGCAACUAAUGGGAUCGGACAAUGAUAAAAUUCAGUUGUGGAUGUUAUGUCUCUGACUUGCAAUUUAUCUUAUGUGUAUUUAACUGUAAAUAUUACAUGAUAGUCUGAAUUUAAGAUUUCAA